rnacentral:tRNA from 1 species
UUAAAUAGCUUAUAUAGAGUAUGAUAUUGAAGAUAUCAAGGAGACUUUUAGUCUUUAAGUAUU